UACAGAGGGUGCGAGCGUUAAUCGGAAUUACUGGGCGUAAAGCGCGCGUAGGCGGCUUUGCAAGUCGGGUGUGAAAUCCCCAGGCUUAACCUGGGAACUGCAUUCGAGACUGCAUUGCUAGAGUAUGGGAGAGGGAAGUGGAAUUUCCGGUGUAGCGGUGAAAUGCGUAGAUAUCGGAAGGAACAUCAGUGGCGAAAGCGGCUUCCUGGACCAGAACUGACGAUCAGGCACGAAAGCGUGGGGAGCAAACAGG
rnacentral:rRNA from 1 species